rnacentral:rRNA from 1 species
UAGAUUGAAGAAGCUUGCUUCUGAUUGAUAACAUUUGAGUGAGUGGCGGACGGGUGAGUAACACGUGGGUAACCUGCCCUAAAGUGGGGGAUAACAUUUGGAAACAGAUGCUAAUACCGCAUAAAACCUAGCACCGCAUGGUGCAAGGUUGAAAGAUGGUUUCGGCUAUCACUUUAGGAUGGACCCGCGGUGCAUUAGUUAGUUGGUGAGGUAAAGGCUCACCAAGACCGUGAUGCAUAGCCGACCUGAGAGGGUAAUCGGCCACACUGGGACUGAGACACGGCCCAGACUCCUACGGGAGGCAGCAGUAGGGAAUCUUCCACAAUGGACGAAAGUCUGAUGGAGCAACGCCGCGUGAGUGAAGAAGGUUUUCGGAUCGUAAAACUCUGUUGUUGGAGAAGAACGUAUUUGAUAGUAACUGAUCAGGUAGUGACGGUAUCCAACCAGAAAGCCACGGCUAACUACGUGCCAGCAGCCGCGGUAAUACGUAGGUGGCAAGCGUUGUCCGGAUUUAUUGGGCGUAAAGCGAGCGCAGGCGGUUUCUUAAGUCUGAUGUGAAAGCCUUCGGCUCAACCGAAGAAGUGCAUCGGAAACUGGGAAACUUGAGUGCAGAAGAGGACAGUGGAACUCCAUGGGUAAGCCGGU